CGUUCCCAAACCUGGAGGAUCAUCAUCCGGUUCAAUAGCAUGAUUACAACUGAUCGACGAUGAAUCGGAAAUUCUGCAAUUGCGCUAUCUGUGAGAAUUCUAGUCAGGCUUCCAUUUGCACCGUUUGCGUCAAUCACAGAUUGAAUGACUACAACUCUGCGUUAAAACUAUUGAAAGCUCGGCGCGAUUUGUUGUAUUCGAGGUUGAGCGACGUACUUGUGGCAAAGGGGAAGGCAGACGAUCAAUUAAAUUGGAGAGUUACUCGGAAUGAGAAACUUACUAGGUUAAGGGAGAAACUCCGGCGCAGUAGAGAGAAACUCGAGCAAGGAAAGACGGAGAUUGAGUUGACGUCCUAUGAUCUCAAAUUGAAAUAUGCGAUGCUUGAAUCAGCUCGUUCUGUGUUGGAAAAACAACGAGUUGAACAACUGGAGAAAGCCUAUCCCGACCUUAUUAGCACCAAGAAUCUGGGACAUAUGGCAAUUACCUCUGAACGCCUUCACAAACAAUCCUUGGUUGUAAAACAAAUGUGCAAAUUGUUUCCACAACGUCGGGUUUUAGUUCAUGGAGAGAACAAAGAGGGACCAAGCGAGCAAUUUGACCAAAUCUGUUAUGUGAGCUUACCAAGAGGACUGGAUCCGCAUUCUGUUGAGCCACACGAGCUUUCAGUUUCUUUGGGAUACAUGGUGCAGCUUCUAAAUCUUGUCGUUCAAUAUCUGGCAGCUCCUGCACUUCACCACUCAGGUUUUGCAGGUUCUUGUUCACGCAUAUGGCAAAGGGAUUCAUAUUGGAAAGCUCGUCCAUCUUCCCGAAGCAAUGAGUAUCCACUUUUUAUACCACGUCAAACCUAUAGUUCAACAAGUGGGGAAAAUUCAUGGUCUGAUAAAUGCUCUAGCAGCUUCGGUGUUGCUUCCUUGGAAUCGGAGAGGAAAUCACAUUUAAGUUCACUAGAAAGUAGUAGCUUCAGUUAUCCGUCCGCUCCUCCACAUUCUAUAGAAACGCACAAGAAUUUGCAGAAGGGGAUUGCCCUCCUCAAGAAAAGUGUAGCAUGUGUCACCUCAUACUGCUAUAACUCUCUCUCUUUAGAUGUUCCUUCUGAAGCUUCUACUUUUGAAGCAUUUGCUAAAUUAUUGGCUACUCUUUCUUCAUCCAAGGAAGUGCGUUCUGUUUUUUCCCUCAAAAUGGCUUCUUCCAGGCCCCCUAAGCACGUUCAGAAACUGAACAAGUCUGCAUGGACUGUUAAUUCGAUUUCAUCCAGCAUGCUGUUCGAGAGUGCACAUUCACAAAUAAUGAAAACCAAUUGUGAGAGUAAUCUUCCAAGUUAUCUUUAUGCCACCGAGUUUUCUGAUGCUGGAAAGAAUGAUUGCACCAUUGAGGAAUGGGACUUCAUAGAGCAUCCAACGCUUCCUCCACCACCAUCUCAAUCUGAAAAUAUUGAGCAUUGGACUCGAGCAAUGAUCACCGAUGCCACCAAACAGUAAUUUAAUGGUAUAUGGAGAUAGCAUGAGAAAUAGAAGGGGAUUUGGAACUACUCAAUACACAAUCAGCUUUCGACCUGUAAAUAUGAAGACUUCCAAAAGUGGAAGGGCAGAGGUUUAUUCUUCUUCCAGUCCUUCAAAGGUGUCUUCCUCUCCAUCUUCUUCCACGAUUACUUAUAAUCUUUAUUAUCUUCAUCCUUCUUAUCACUCCCACCAUCAUCCUUAUCUUUAUCACCACCACCAUCGCCACUGUUCUCACUUCCACCACGGUGGUCAUCAUUGCCAUCAUCUCUUCCUCCUUUGGUGAUAUCAUCUUUUACCAUUUUUCUUUCGUAGUAAUGUAUGCAUCUGUAUCAUCGUAAAAAAAGGAUAUUUUUCGAUGCAUGAGGUCUCAACAUUUUCAUUCAUUAUCAUGUAAAACCUCUAAUGUUCUCCUCA